rnacentral:rRNA from 1 species
AGAGUUUGAUCCUGGCUCAGAUUGAACGCUGGCGGCAUGCUUUACACAUGCAAGUCGAGCGGCAGCGCGGGGGCAACCCUGGCGGCGAGCGGCGAACGGGUGAGGAAUACAUCGGAACGUACCCCGGAGUGGGGGAUAACCCAGCGAAAGUUGGGCUAAUACCGCAUAUGCUCUGAGGAGGAAAGUGGGGGACCGCAAGGCCUCACGCUCUGGGAGCGGCCGAUGUCCGAUUAGCUUGUUGGUGGGGUAAUGGCCUACCAAGGCGACGAUCGGUAGCUGGUCUGAGAGGAUGAUCAGCCACACUGGGACUGAGACACGGCCCAGACUCCUACGGGAGGCAGCAGUGGGGAAUUUUGGACAAUGGGGGCAACCCUGAUCCAGCCAUGCCGCGUGCGGGAAGAAGGCCUUCGGGUUGUAAACCGCUUUUGGUCGGGAAGAAAAGGCGCCACCUAAUACGGGGCGUUCUUGACGGUACCGGCAGAAUAAGCACCGGCUAACUACGUGCCAGCAGCCGCGGUAAUACGUAGGGUGCGAGCGUUAAUCGGAAUUACUGGGCGUAAAGCGUGCGCAGGCGGUUUGUUAAGUCUGAUGUGAAAGCCCCGGGCUCAACCUGGGAAUGGCAUUGGAAACUGGCAGGCUCGAGUAUGGCAGAGGGGGGUGGAAUUCCGCGUAGCAGUGAAAUGCGUAGAGAUGCGGAGGAACACCGAUGGCGAAGGCAGCCCCCUGGGCCAAUACUGACGCUCAGGCACGAAAGCGUGGGGAGCAAACAGGAUUAGAUACCCUAGUAGUCC